rnacentral:rRNA from 1 species
GAGGGCGGCGUGUAUAUACAUGCAAGUCGAGCGGACUUUAAAAGCUUGCUUUUAAAGUUAGCGGCGGACGGGUGAGUAACACGUGGGCAACCUGCCUGUAAGACUGGGAUAACUUCGGGAAACCGGAGCUAAUACCGGAUAAUCCUUUUCCUCUCAUGAGGAAAAGCUGAAAGACGGUUUACGCUGUCACUUACAGAUGGGCCCGCGGCGCAUUAGCUAGUUGGUGAGGUAACGGCUCACCAAGGCGACGAUGCGUAGCCGACCUGAGAGGGUGAUCGGCCACACUGGGACUGAGACACGGCCCAGACUCCUACGGGAGGCAGCAGUAGGGAAUCUUCCGCAAUGGACGAAAGUCUGACGGAGCAACGCCGCGUGAGUGAUGAAGGUUUUCGGAUCGUAAAACUCUGUUGUUAGGGAAGAACAAGUACAAGAGUAACUGCUUGUACCUUGACGGUACCUAACCAGAAAGCCACGGCUAACUACGUGCCAGCAGCCGCGGUAAUACGUAGGUGGCAAGCGUUGUCCGGAAUUAUUGGGCGUAAAGCGCGCGCAGGCGGUCCUUUAAGUCUGAUGUGAAAGCCCACGGCUCAACCGUGGAGGGUCAUUGGAAACUGGGGGACUUGAGUGCAGAAGAGAAGAGUGGAAUUCCACGUGUAGCGGUGAAAUGCGUAGAGAUGUGGAGGAACACCAGUGGCGAAGGCGACUCUUUGGUCUGUAACUGACGCUGAGGCGCGAAAGCGUGGGGAGCAAACAGGAUUAUAUACCCUGGUAGUCCACGCCGUAAACCAUCACUGCUAAGUGUUAUACGGCUUCCUCCCUUUAUUGCUGCGGCAAACGCAUUAAUCACUCCUCCUGCUGAGGACAAACGCCCCGCUGAAUCUC